rnacentral:rRNA from 1 species
UACGAAGGGGGCUAGCGUUGUUCGGAUUUACUGGGCGUAAAGCGCACGUAGGCGGAUCGAUCAGUCAGGGGUGAAAUCCCAGGGCUCAACUCUGGAACUGCCUUUGAUACUGUCGAUCUGGAGUAUGGAAGAGGUGAGUGGAAUUCCGAGUGUAGAGGUGAAAUUCGUAGAUAUUCGGAGGAACACCAGUGGCGAAGGCGGCUCACUGGUCCAUUACUGACGCUGAGGAGCGAAAGAGUGGGGAGCGAACAGG